GAUGAACGCUGGCGGCGUGCCUAAUGCAUGCAAGUCGAGCGAAUGGAUUAAGAGCUUGCUCUUAUGAAGUUAGCGGCGGACGGGUGAGUAACACGUGGGUAACCUGCCCAUAAGACUGGGAUAACUCCGGGAAACCGGGGCUAAUACCGGAUAACAUUUUGAACCGCAUGGUUCGAAAUUGAAAGGCGGCUUCGGCUGUCACUUAUGGAUGGACCCGCGUCGCAUUAGCUAGUUGGUGAGGUAACGGCUCACCAAGGCAACGAUGCGUAGCCGAACGGAGAGGGUGAUCGGCCACACUGGGACGGGGACACGGCCCAGACUCCUACGGGAGGCAGCAGUAGGGAAUCUUCCGCAAUGGACGAAAGUCUGACGGAGCAACGCCGCGUGAGUGAUGAAGGCUUUCGGGUCGUAAAACUCUGUUGUUAGGGAAGAACAAGUGCUAGUUGAAUAAGCUGGCACCUUGACGGUACCUAACCAGAAAGCCACGGCUAACUACGUGCCAGCCGCCGCCGUAA
rnacentral:rRNA from 1 species